rnacentral:rRNA from 1 species
AUUGAACGCUGGCGGCAGGCUUAACACAUGCAAGUCGAGCGAGCGGCGGACGGGUGAGUAAUGUCUGGGAAACUGCCUGAUGGCGGGGGAUAACUACUGGAAACGGACGCUAAUACCGCAUACCAUCAGAUGUGCCCCGCUGGGCUUAGCUAGUAGGUGGGGUAAUGGAUCACCUAGGCGACGAUCCCUAGCUGGUCUGAGAGGAUGACCAGCCAUACUGGAACUGUGACACGUUCCAGACUCCUACGGGAGGCAGCAGUGGGGUAUAUGGCACAAUGGGCGCAAGCCUGAUGCAGCCAUGCCGCGUGUGUGAAGAAGGCCUUCGGGUUGUAAAGCACUUUCAGCGAGGAGGCGUUACUCGCAGAAGAAGCACCGGCUAACUCCGGGCCAGCAGCCGCGGUAAUUC